rnacentral:rRNA from 1 species
CGAACGAUGACUUUUGUGCUUGCACAAGAUGAUUAGUGGCGAACGGGUGAGUAACACGUGAGUAACCUGCCCUUGACUCUGGGAUAAGCCUGGGAAACUGGGUCUAAUACUGGAUAUGCACCGUGGACCGCAUGGUUUUUGGUGGAAAGAUUUAUUGGUCAAGGAUGGACUCGCGGCCUAUCAGCUUGUUGGUGAGGUAAUGGCUCACCAAGGCGACGACGGGUAGCCGGCCUGAGAGGGUGACCGGCCACACUGGGACUGAGACACGGCCCAGACUCCUACGGGAGGCAGCAGUGGGGAAUAUUGCACAAUGGGCGAAAGCCUGAUGCAGCGACGCCGCGUGAGGGAUGACGGCCUUCGGGUUGUAAACCUCUUUCAGUAGGGAAGAAGCGAAAGUGACGGUACCUGCAGAAGAAGCGCCGGCUAACUACGUGCCAGCAGCCGCGGUAAUACGUAGGGCGCAAGCGUUAUCCGGAAUUAUUGGGCGUAAAGAGCUCGUAGGCGGUUUGUCGCGUCUAUCGUGAAAGUCCGAGGCUCAACCUCGGAUCUGCGGUGGGUACGGGCAGACUAGAGUGAUGUAGGGGAGACUGGAAUUCCUGGUGUAGCGGUGAAAUGCGCAGAUAUCAGGAGGAACACCGAUGGCGAAGGCAGGUCUCUGGGCAUUAACUGACGCUGAGGAGCGAAAGCAUGGGGAGCGAACAGGAUUAGAUACCCUGGUAGUCCAUGCCGUAAACGUUGGGCACUAGGUGUAGGGGACAUUCCACGUUUUCCGCGCCGUAGCUAACGCAUUAAGUGCCCCGCCUGGGGAGUACGGCCGCAAGGCUAAAACUCAAAGGAAUUGACGGGGGCCCGCACAAGCGGCGGAGCAUGCGGAUUAAUUCGAUGCAACGCGAAGAACCUUACCAAGGCUUGACAUGUGCUAGAUCGCCAUAGAAAUAUGGUUUCCCCUUUGGGGCUGGUUCACAGGUGGUGCAUGGUUGUCGUCAGCUCGUGUCGUGAGAUGUUGGGUUAAGUCCCGCAACGAGCGCAACCCUCGUUCCAUGUUGCCAGCACGUAGUGGUGGGGACUCAUGGGAGACUGCCGGGGUCAACUCGGAGGAAGGUGGGGACGACGUCAAAUCAUCAUGCCCCUUAUGUCUUGGGCUUCACGCAUGCUACAAUGGCCGGUACAAUGGGUUGCGAUACUGUGAGGUGGAGCUAAUCCCAAAAAGCCGGUCUCAGUUCGGAUUGGGGUCUGCAACUCGACCCCAUGAAGUCGGAGUCGCUAGUAAUCGCAGAUCAGCAACGCUGCGGUGAAUACGUUCCCGGGCCUUGUACACACCGCCCGUCAAGUCACGAAAGU